rnacentral:rRNA from 1 species
GAUGAACGCUGGCGGCGUGCCUAAUACAUGCAAGUCGAGCGAACAGAUGAGGAGCUUGCUCCUCUGACGUUAGCGGCGGACGGGUGAGUAACACGUGGAUAACCUACCUAUAAGACUGGGAUAACUUCGGGAAACCGGAGCUAAUACCGGAUAAUAUAUUGAACCGCAUGGUUCAAUAGUGAAAGACGGUUUUGCUGUCACUUAUAGAUGGAUCCGCGCCGCAUUAGCUAGUUGGUAAGGUAACGGCUUACCAAGGCAACGAUGCGUAGCCGACCUGAGAGGGGGUACGCCCACCCGGGACCUGAGCGGCGGCCCAGCCUCCUAGGGGGGGCAGCGGAGGGGAAUCUUCCGAAAUGGGCGAAAGCUUGCCGGAGCAACGCCGGGGGGGUGAAGAAGGUUUGCGGUUCGUAAAACGUUGUUUUUGGGGAAAAAAAAAUUGGAAAGUAACUAUGCCCGUUUGAAGGGUACCUAUUCAGAAGCCCCCGGUAACCUCCUG